AGAAGCGGACAAGCAAACAGCGGAUGUGCAGUUCCUCUCUUCGCCGAACCCGGUUUUCCCUUUCGGAGCAGCGCGACCGAUUUCCGGUUUCCCCGCCGCAACCACCGUUACCCCCCCCCCGCCCCAAUCCCCGGCGACUCCAGCGACGUCACCGGUUCAGCUCCUGACCUUUCGGCGAACCGCAGAACCACAGGCGACCCGUUCGACGUCAUCACUCCCCGCCCAGAUGUCGCUGUGACAUCACCCCGCACGUGCCUGCGCUGGCACCGCGUCGUCCUGGCGAGCGCCUCCUCGCGGCGGAAGGAGAUCCUGGGGUUCGCUGUGCGAGACAUGUCGGCGGGGUUUCACGUGAGUGACACUUGGUCCCCACGGGAUUGACAGCGACUAGCGGAGUGGCAUGUGGACGUAGCUUCAGGCUGAGCAGGAAGCAGAGCAGCACAGCGUCAUCAUGAGGGUAGCCAUCUUCACCUGGGGCAUCCACGGAGGCCCUGCCCAGGAAGUGACUUUCUCUCUACUGUAGGAGGAGCUGAUCCACGACUACUUGGACAACAGCACACCAGCGAAGGAUGGGACAAGGCCUGGGGCCUCCGCCAUCCAUGCGUGGGGAGUGAUGCUGGUAGAGGGCAAAUUGGUGACGUCAUCAAUGCAGCGGGCUUCCCACUCAACCACUUUAGCCGCAAGCUUGCAAGGGCAGCUGCCAGAGACAGGAAGUGACAUCGCUGUGGAGAGGGCAGCAGGAAGUGAGGUGGAAGAAAAGUGUUUUGAAACUGACCCUACAGAUAAAAGAGUUCAUCAUGAAUGCGAUACCCUCCUAUACAGUUGUUAGAAGCAACCCUCCAUCUCCAACUCCAAAAAUAAAUGAAAACCAAACCACACAGUUGGAAAUCAGCAAGAAGAGAACCGGAUGGUGGAUGGCAGCAGAUGGACAGGAGAGCACUCAGCAGCACUUGCUCUUCCAGCCCGUCACGCCUCCUCCACUGCUGAUAUCUACGUUUUCACUGUUGGGUUCUUUUACAGGGGUCUGCAACAACACAAGGAAGCAAGCAACCCGUGAGAAAGCACUGGCAUGGAUGAAAACAGACUCACUGGAAAGAUGCAAAGCAAUGUCAGGUUACACAACAAAAGGCAAUUACAGUCAUAUGAGGGAGUGUUCGAAAAGUUGUAAUUUGAAAACUGUUUUUGGUUGUCCUUUAGUUGGCCUCCUCUGUAAAUUGUGACAGACAUCUCCUGACAACACUUAAAGCAUCUCAAACCAUCCUUGCCCUGAUCUAUGAGUUCUCAGAACAGAAGGACUACUGAGCCAGGCGUGGUAGCACAUGCCUGUGAUCCUACAACUCAGAAGACAGAAGAGGAAUUCUAGGUCAGCCUGGGCUAGACAGACAGCAAGACUCUUGUUUUGUUUUGAAAGGCUGGUGAGGUAGUUCAGCGGGUUAACUGCCUGGUCUAAGCCCAGUGACGUGAGUUUGUGUGCUGUGGAGCUUCUGCAAACCCUGCCCCUGCCAAAUAAAAACUCGUAAUUUAUAACU
rnacentral:lncRNA from 1 species